UACGGGGGGGGCAAGCGUUGUUCGGAAUUACUGGGCGUAAAGGGCUCGUAGGUGGCCAACUAAGUCAGACGUGAAAUCCCUCAGCUUAACUGGGGAACUGCGUCUGAUACUGGAUGGCUUGAGUUUGGGAGAGGGAUGCGGAAUUCCCGGUGUAGCGGUGAAAUGCGCAGAUAUCGGGAAGAACACCCGUGGCGAAGGCGGCUCUCUGGGACGGUACUGACGCUGAGACGCGAAAGCGUGGGGAGCGAACAGG
rnacentral:rRNA from 1 species